GCUUACUUCAGCAGUACAUACUAAGAUUGGAAUGAUACAGAGAAGAUAAACAUGGCCCCUGCACAAGGAUGACAAGCAAAUUCAUGAAGUGUUCCAUGUUUUU